rnacentral:rRNA from 1 species
GNAGCUACGGCNGCUACACACCAGUCUANAGGGUACAGGGAGCUUGCUCCGCUGACGACCGGCGCACGGGUGCGCAACGCGUAUGCAAUCUACCUCUUACUAAGGGAUAGCCCAGAGAAAUUUGGAUUAAUAUCUUAUGUGAUAUUAGACUGGCAUCGGUUUAAUAUUAAAGGUUACGGUAAGAGAUGAGCAUGCGUCUCAUUAGUUAGUUGGUAAGGUAACGGCUUACCAAGACUUCGAUGAGUAGGGGUCCUGAGAGGGAGAUCCCCCACACUGGUACUGAGACACGGACCAGACUCCUACGGGAGGCAGCAGUGAGGAAUAUUGGACAAUGGACGGAAGUCUGAUCCAGCCAUGCCGCGUGUAGGAAGACUGCCCUAUGGGUUGUAAACUACUUUUAUACAGGAAGAAUAAGAUCUACGUGUAGAUUGAUGACGGUACUGUAAGAAUAACGGACCGGCUAACUCCGUGCCAGCAGCCGCGGUAAUACGGAGGGUCCGAGCGUUAUCCGGAAUUAUUGGGUUUAAAGGGUCCGUAGGCGGGCUGUUAAGUCAGAGGUGAAAUGCUGCGGCUCAACCGUAUGCACUGCCUUUGAUACUGGCGGUCUUGAGUUAUAGUGAAAGUGGCUAGAAUAAGUAGUGUAGCGGUGAAAUGCUAGAUUUUACUUAGAAUACCGAUUGCGAAGGCGGUCCACUACUNUUCCUGACGCCUAUGGACC